rnacentral:lncRNA from 13 species
AUGCUGGCUCCUCCACCAGGGCCCCAGGGAUGGCCCCAGGCUCGGAGCUCCCAGCCUGCUCUUGCAUCCCGCAGUUGGCUGCAAACCUCUCCACACCAAGAACAGCAAUGUCUCUCCUCUUCCUUGAGCAUCAUCCGCCGAGCCCUUGCGGAUGACCUCCCACAUUCUCCACUUGGAAGAGGCGCUCACAGCUCACAUAGGCAGCCAGGUUCAUCUAAAAUUCAAGAUCCAAAGUGACAUAACAAAUGGGCAAAAGUAACUUAGAGCAAUCAUUUGAUCUGAAUGAAGCCAUGCUUCGCAGAGUGAUGCAUUAACACACAGUCUACAGCAGCACAAAUUCCUUGCUGGUUUUAGGCACUGCCUUCUUUAAAGAGCUUCUGAAGCAGGUAUUGAUGGUUUUUCAGCAGGUUUGUGUCUGGUUUCCAUGUGGCCAGUGAUAUCACAAUGGUCCCCACGGUGCAGAGUAAAUGUUGACAAACAUUUUGUGAAGUUACAUAUUCAUCUUUCAUUUUCUUGAGCGGUGGAAAUUUAGUACGUAAUUUUUCAUUAAAUGUGUACUUUUUAAAGAAUCGCUGCUGAGUUGACUGCAAAAUGCAGAAGUGUUGCCAAACAAGAAAAUAAGUAAACAGUUGGACAUUUAUUUGCACCAUAUGAUAAAUAACAAUGAACAUGGCAACAACAUUUAGAGGUAGCAGGAGAGCCCAGCCUUUAUUUCUCACACAUAUUUCAUGUACAACUCAUAAUGUCCCACAUUCCCAUGGACCCUGAAGACUGGAAGCCCAAUGGCUUUAUGCAUCUUGCAGUGGCAGCAGAGGCCAUGACCCAGUGGAGGGCAGGUACCAUGUGGCCGAAAGGGCAGCAGCAGCAAAGGGCUCCCCGACUCCACUUGAAAUCAGGAGGAGUCUGCUGUCUCCAGUCCCUGGCUUCUUACCACACUCUGCACUAUCAAUGAGAGCCCAGCAUGAUUUCCCUGAAAGGAAGGUGUUUGUUACCCUUGUGUCUGGAAAGGGGUCAGGAAAAGAGAGACUAGACUGAUUCUCACCUUUUAAACAUAAGGACAUGUUACAGUAGAACCCCUACUUCCAGCGCGUUGUGUCUCACAUACUAGCAGAUGAGACCCUGGUGGAAGCUGGAGCAAUGACGUGGAACCCUACCAAACCUACCCCAGCCAGUGUGUGUUAGUUCAGCCACUGUGGAGAGCAGUCUGAAGAUUUCUCAAAGCACUCAAAGCAGAGCU